AGAGUUUGAUCCUGGCUUAGGAUGAACGCUGGCGGCGUGCUUAACACAUGCAAGUCGAACGAAGCCAAAAGGAAGCUUGCUUCUUGAAGCUUAGUGGCGGACGGGUGAGUAACGCGUGAGAAACCUGCCCUUGAGUGGGGAAUAACACCGAGAAAUCGGUGCUAAUACCGCAUAAUGUCACGAUACCGCAUGAUAUUGUGACCAAAGGAUUUAUUCGCUUAAGGAUGGUCUCGCGUCCGAUUAGCUAGUUGGUGAGGUAACGGCCCACCAAGGCGACGAUCGGUAGCCGAACUGAGAGGUUGAUCGGCCACAUUGGGACUGAGACACGGCCCAGACUCCUACGGGAGGCAGCAGUGGGGAAUAUUGGGCAAUGGGCGAAAGCCCUGACCCAGCAACGCCGCGUGAAGGAUGACGGUCUUCGGAUUGUAAACUUCUUUGAUUGGGGAAGAAUAAAUGACCUACCCAAAGAACAAGUCACGGCUAACUACGUGCCAGCAGCGGC
rnacentral:rRNA from 1 species